rnacentral:misc_RNA from 1 species
UCCGGUUUGUCACCGGCAGUCUCAUUAGAGUGCCCAACUGAAUGUAGCAACUAAUGACAAGGGUUGCGCUCGUUGCGGGACUUAACCCAACAUCUCACGACACGAGCUGACGACAGCCAUGCAGCACCUGUCUCUGGGUUCCUUGCGGCACCCCCGAAUCUCUUCAGGGUUCCCAGGAUGUCAAGGCCAGGUAAGGUUCUUCGCGUUGCAUCGAAUUAAACCACAUGCUCCACCGCUUGUGCGGGUCCCCGUCAAUUCCUUUGAGUUUUAACCUUGCGGCCGUACUCCCCAGGCGGGGCACUUAAUGCGUUAGCGACGGCGCGGAUCUCGUUGGUUGAGACCCACACCUAGUGCCCAACGUUUACGGCGUGGACUAC